ensembl:snRNA U6 U6 spliceosomal RNA
GAGCUUCAGCAGCACACAUAUUAAAAUUGAAAUAAUACAAAGAAGAUUAACGUGGCCCCUGCACAAGGGUGACACAUAAAUUUGUGAAACAUUUCCUACUGAA